rnacentral:rRNA from 1 species
UACGUAGGUGGCAAGCGUUGUCCGGAUUUACUGGGCGUAAAGGGCGUGCAGGCGGUCUGUUAAGUGCAGGGUGAAAGCUCCCGGCUCAACUGGGAGAGGUCCUUGCAUACUGGCGGACUUGAGGGGGGUAGAGGAAAGUGGAAUUCCCGGUGUAGUGGUGAUAUGCGUAGAUAUGCGGAGGAACACCGAUGGCGAAGGCAAUCCCCUGGGCCUGCACUGACGCUCAUGCACGAAAGCGUGGGGAGCAAACAGG